rnacentral:rRNA from 1 species
CUCGCCCUCCCUCUAGCCCAGUCAAUCUCCACACCAACUAACAACAAAUUAACUCAUCCACUUAACUAAAACAUUUCAAUUCGUCUCAGUAUGGGCGACAGAAAAGACUCUAGGCGCGAUAGAGAUCUCUAACCGUACCGCAAGGGAAAGAUGAAAUAAUAAUGAAAUAUCACAAGCAAAAAACAGUAAAGACCAACCCUUGUACCUCUUGCAUCAUGAUUUAGCUAGAACAACCAAGCAAAGAGAACUAAAGUUUGCCACCCCGAAACCCAAGCGAGCUACUUGUGAGCAGCUAAAAUUGAGCACACCCGUCUCUGUUGCAAAAGAGUGGGAUGACUCACCAGUAGAGGUGAAAAGCCAACCGAGCUGGGUGAUAGCUGGUUACCUACUAAAUGAAUUUAAGUUCUCCCUUAACCCCUUCACCAAGGAAACCUAAACUUUAACCUUACACCUGUUAGAGUUAAGAGUAAUUCGACGGGGGUACAGCUCCUUCGAAAAAGAAUACAACCUCGCCCAGCGGAUAAUACAUUUUCUUUUCUACCGUAGGCCUUCAAGCAGCCACCAACAAAAGAAUGCGUCAAAGCUCUUUCAUUAAAAAUCUAAAAACCCAUUUGAAUCCCUCACCAAAAGUAGGUCAACCUAUGACAAUAGAAGAAUUAAUGCUAAAAUAAGUAACUUGGAGCCUUCCUCAUCAGGCGUAAACUUACAUAAACAUAUUAUUAACAAAACCAACCUUAUACCCACACUCCAACAAGAACGUGUAUAUAACCUAAACCUGUUAGACCAACUCAGGAGCGCCCAUAUGAAUGAUUAAAACCUGCAAAAGGAACUCGGCAACCUAAAGACCCGACUGUUUCCCAAAAACAUAGCCUUCAGCAAAUACCAAGUAUUGAAGGUGAUGCCUGCCCAGUGACCUCCAAUGUUCAACGGCCGCGGUAUCCUAACCGUGCGAAGGUAGCGCAAUCAAUUGUCUCAUAAAUCGAGACUUGUAUGAAUGGCUAAACGAGGUCUUUACUGUCUCCUGCGGGUAAUCAGUGAAAUUAGUAUUCCCGUGCAAAAACGAGAAUGUGACCAUAAGACGAGAAGACCCUGUGGAACUUUAAAAUCGUAACCACCUUUCUACUCAACUAACAUCCACUGGACCCACUACAUUAAAGCAUUUGGUUAACAUUUUUCGGUUGGGGCGACCUUGGAGAAAAAUAGACCCUCCAAAUCACCAGACCACACCUCUUCACCAAGAUCAACCACUCAAAGUACUAACAGUAACUCAGACCCAAUAUAAUUGAUCAAUGGACCAAGCUACCCCAGGGAUAACAGCGCAAUCUCCUCCAAGAGCCCAUAUCGACAAGGAGGUUUACGACCUCGAUGUUGGAUCAGGACAACCUAAUGGUGCAGCCGCUAUUAAGGGUUCGUUUGUUCAACGAUUAACAGUCCUACGUGAUCUGAGUUCAGACCGGAGCAAUCCAGGUCGGUUUCUAUCUAUGAAUGUACUCCUCCCAGUACGAAAGGACCGGAGAAGUGGGGUCAAUACCUUAAAGCACACCCCAAUCCUCUAAGCAAUGAAUCCAACUCAACUGCUAAGAAGCCCCACAUUCACACCCACUCCUAGAAAAGGAACA